UUUAUUUACAAUCAUGAUACACAAUUUAAUGAGCAAUAUUAAUGGUGAAUAUUUGAAAUAAGUACUAAUGUAUGAUUAUGUAGGAGGCAUUUAAUAACCAAUCAUAUAUCUUUGUACUCUUCUAACAAUAUUAAUUGUCAUUAGCUGAGUAUAUAGAAGGAAAAGAAGAGAACAUUAAUGUGGAAAGUUAUAAUGGAUCCUUCAAUAUUUUCUUUCCGAUCAGAGAAUCUCCUAGAUUUGAUCAUGCCUCUAUAUAAUACCACCAUAAGGACGGAAUGUGAGAAAUAUCAACCAUAAGGAAAGUCAUAGUAGAAAGGAAAAAAUAGCAACCCACUUCUAAUGGCAUUAAUCAAGAGCAAAACAAGUGCUCUAUGCUUGGUAGUUUUUCUAAUGUCUGCAACUUUAUUAUCAUGUCAUGCAACCGGGAGAAACAAAGAUACAAAUGCAUGGAGAACUUUGUGUGGAGAUUUUAAAAUAUGCGAGAACCCAACGGUAAACAAUGUUAAUAUUUGCAGACUUAAUUGUGAAUGGUCAGGUUACGAUUUCGAUGGUAGCUACUGCGAUCUUGGUAACUGUUGUUGCGCAUUGACAAAGCCAAGGAAAUGAUGGGCACACUAUGCAUUGUGAUUUGUCAAAAGUUUGAGCUUGUAAGAUAUGAUGAAUUUCAAUAAAAUAUACAUGUUACUUUUU